rnacentral:rRNA from 1 species
AUUGAACGCUGGCGGCAUGCCUUACACAUGCAAGUCGAACGGUAACAGGUCUUCGGAUGCUGACGAGUGGCGAACGGGUGAGUAAUACAUCGGAACGUGCCCGAGAGUGGGGGAUAACGAAGCGAAAGCUUUGCUAAUACCGCAUACGAUCUCAGGAUGAAAGCAGGGGACCGCAAGGCCUUGCGCUCACGGAGCGGCCGAUGGCAGAUUAGGUAGUUGGUGGGAUAAAAGCUUACCAAGCCGACGAUCUGUAGCUGGUCUGAGAGGACGACCAGCCACACUGGGGCUGAGACACGGCCCAGACUCCUACGGGAGGCAGCAGUGGGGAAUUUUGGACAAUGGGCGCAAGCCUGAUCCAGCCAUGCCGCGUGCAGGAUGAAGGCCUUCGGGUUGUAAACUGCUUUUGUACGGAACGAAAAGACUCUGGUUAAUACCUGGGGUCCAUGACGGUACCGUAAGAAUAAGCACCGGCUAACUACGCGCCAGCCGCCGCGGUAAAAC